GACGAACGCUGGCGGCGUGCUUAACACAUGCAAGUCGAACGGAAAGGCCCUGCUUUUGUGGGGUGCUCGAGUGGCGAACGGGUGAGUAACACGUGAGUAGCCUGCCCUUGACUUUGGGAUAACUUCAGGAAACUGGGGCUAAUACCGGAUAGGAGCUCCUGCUGCAUGGUGGGGGUUGGAAAGUUUCGGCGGUUGGGGAUGGACUCGCGGCUUAUCAGCUUGUUGGUGGGGUAGUGGCUUACCAAGGCUUUGACGGGUAGCCGGCCUGAGAGGGUGACCGGCCACAUUGGGACUGAGAUACGGCCCAGACUCCUACGGGAGGCAGCAGUGGGGAAUGUUGCACAAUGGGCGGAAGCCUGAUGCAGCAACGCCGCGUGCGGGAUGACGGCCUUCGGGUUGUAAACCGCUUUCGCCUGUGACGAAGCGUGAGUGACGGUAAUGGGUAAAGAAGCACCGGCUAACUACGUG
rnacentral:rRNA from 1 species